GCAUGUCCCACUCUAUACAUGCAUGCAGGAUUCAUAUCUUUAUGCUGCUACCGAGACUAAGCUGAACAGUAGAUACUUCAAGAGGUGAAGACUACAUAUCAAUUUUGAUGUUACAUUCCCAUCCCUUGCUUGUUCACUUCUUAGUGUUGAUACCAUGGAUAUCAGUGGAGAGCGUCAUUAUGAUAUAAGACAUGACAUAAUAAAGAAAAGGAUUGAUCAUCUUGGUAAUGUAAUUGAAUCGAGACAGGAUGGCGUUGGCGCACCCAAGAUUGAAAAGCCAUUACAGCGGCAUGGCGGCAGGCUUGAUCAUAAUGAGACUUAUUGUGGUUCAUGCUAUGGUGCAGAGGUGUUAGAUGAUGCUUGCUGCAACUCUUGUGAAGAUGUUCGUGAAGCUUAUCGAAAGAAAGGGUGGGGCUUGACUAAUCUGGAUCAAAUUGACCAGUGCAAGAGAGAGGGCUUCAUCCAGAGGAUUAAAGAUGAAGAAGGUGAAGGAUGCAACAUGAAUGGGCUCCUGGAAGUCAAUAAAGUAGCUGGAAAUUUUCACUUUGCCCCUGGAAAAAGCUUCCACCAGUCUAACAUUUUUCUGCAAAAUUUAUUAGGCUUUCAAACAGAAAAUUAUAAUAUAAGCCAUAAAAUAAACAAACUAUCCUUUGGGAAAGAGUUCCCUGGUGUUGUAAAUCCACUUGAUGGAGCACAGUGGACACAUCAAACUCCAUUUGGGAUGUAUCAAUAUUUUAUCAAAGUUGUUCCUACAAUCUAUACUGACAUUAGAGGACGCAAAAUUUACUCAAACCAGUUUUCAGUAACAGAGCACUUCAGAGAUGCAGAUGUUUAUCCUAAGCCCCCUUCAGGAGUAUACUUUAUUUAUGACUUCUCACCAAUUAAGGAUUGAUGGACUGACCAUUCUGGAUCAGCCCACUUUGGAAUAGUCAAUACUCAAAAUCUUAGCUAACAGUUUCGUCAAAUAGUAUUUAUUAGAUAGGUGAUUUUUACUGAAGAAAAUAAAUCACUCCUGCAUGUCUUGACAAAUAUCUGCGCUAUAAUCGGAGGUGUUUUCACAGUAGCUGGAAUUGUUGAUGCUUUUCUCUAUCAUGGCCAUCGGGUGAUCAAGAAGAAGAUGGAGCUCGGUAAGCAUAGGUGAUUUACUAGGGGCUAAGGAGAUAUAUUCUAGUAUUCCAGCCUUUAGGAUGACAUUUUGAAUCAUUCAAUGAGAUACAAUCAGAAAGUGCAGAAGCAGUUGGCAUCGGGGUAAUGAAGCUAAAACCUUGAGAUUAAGCUGACGCCCCAUUGUUAAGUUUGGUACUCCUUUCAAUGUCAUUAUGUCUGUGAGUAGUAUUUGUCAAGUUACUUAAAAGAAAAUAUAUCUACAGCAGAAGUGAUCCCUUUGUUUCCCCCUUUCUACAUGAUCAUUUUGGGUUUCUGAAGUCUGAGCAGUUCAUUUCUUUCCAUCACUUUACAAGAGAUGAGGGGCCCUUGUGCUGUUUUGAUGAACUAUAUUAGAUUAUGGAUACAUGGGGGAUGUAUUGCACUUGGAAAGAUAUCAUAUGAAUGUACUCCCACCUGUUUCCAACAUUCUAUCAUUGUCAACCCAAAUGGUUUGCUGGUUGAGCAUUUA